UACGUAGGGGGCAAGCGUUGUCCGGAAUCAUUGGGCGUAAAGCGCGUGUAGGCGGCCCGGUAAGUCCGCUGUGAAAGUCGGGGGCUCAACCCUCGGAUGCCGGUGGAUACUGUCGGGCUAGAGUGCGGGAGAGGCGAGUGGAAUUCCUGGUGUAGCGGUGAAAUGCGCAGAUAUCGGGAAGAACACCCGUGGCGAAGGCGGCUCUCUGGGACGGUACAGACGCUGAGACGCGAAAGCGUGGGGAGCGAACAGG
rnacentral:rRNA from 1 species